rnacentral:rRNA from 1 species
AUUAAACGCUGGCGGCAUGCCUUACACAUGCAAGUCGAACGGCAGCACGGGGGCAACCCUGGUGGCGAGUGGCGAACGGGUGAGUAACGCAUCGGAACGUGCCCUGGAGUGGGGGGAUAACGUAGCGAAAGUUACGCUAAUACCGCAUAUUCUGUGAGCAGGAAAGCAGGGGAUCGCAAGACCUUGCGCUCUGGGAGCGGCCGAUGUCGGAUUAGCUAGUUGGUGGGGUAAGGGCCUACCAAGGCGACGAUCCGUAGCGGGUCUGAGAGGAUGAUCCGCCACACUGGGACUGAGACACGGCCCAGACUCCUACGGGAGGCAGCAGUGGGGAUUUUGGACAAUGGGCGCAAGCCUGAUCCAGCCAUGCCGCGUGAGUGAAGAAGGCCUC